UUAAGUAUCUGUUCAUUUAUUUUGUUAAUAGAUUAAAGUAAUUCCAAGUUCCUUCACUGAUUGUAAAACACCAAUGGCUAAUUUGGAAUACCUGAAUCAUGCCAAAUUCACUAAUUGACUCCUUUCUGUUUACAUUCAAUAACAGUUUACUUCUUAUAGACUUCGGUGCUAUUUUAUUUGUUACUUCGUGAUUGCUGCGUUUCACAUUACUAUUGUUUUUAGCUGAUAUCUUAAAUCUAUGUUUAUUGUGCUGUUUCUUAUCAUCCAUCUUGAAGCGUAACAUCAAUUUUGUCGACCAAAUCUUAAAUAUUGAAUAACAUUGUUUAUUUGUUUUCAUUUACCUUGGUGUUGGGUCAGCAAUAUGGUUUCUUCAUAAACAUCUUCAUGUAGUUUACCUUCAACAGCAUUUGGAUCAUACCAUUCUAGCUACUCGAACUAAUCAAGGCAAAGAUACGAUGAUAAGAGACUUAAUCUCGUGAUGAUGGUGAGAGAAAGAGAGAAAGACAGAGAAGGAGAAAAUAGUGAGUGAGAAAAAGUGAGUAUAAAAGGUUGCUUAAACUGUAAACAAAAUCAUCUGAAGCAAAACAAGUUAAAGUUAAAGCUACAUCAAACCAGCAACUACAUUCUUUGUUACAAGUGAAACCAGAAUUUCUUUCGGUUGUUAACCAGUCUAAUAUAACUUUCAACAUCUUUGCCAUCGUUGUUAAUAAUACAUCACUUUUCACUUUUCUCUUGUUUUCCUCUUUAAUCCUUCAAGUUCUCAAUUUUAAGUUUCCCAAUCAUGAGUAGCAGUGGUGACAUGGUCGACAAAUAUGAUCGAUACAACUUUGACUAUGAUAAACAAUUGUAUUGCCAUCACAGUGGUAAACAAAGGAGCAAACGGGAAGCUGAACAAAACACAAAUAAACACGAUCCUUGUGGACAUACCAGAAAAUUGGAGCAAAAGUUUCAUAACACUGAAAUGAACAGAAGGAAAAGUGGAUCCAAAUGAAUUUUGGAGAUCAAAAUUACGCUUUUUGUAAAUCUUUCACCAUCAGACCAAUGAUCUUGAUUUUUGUUUACAAAACCUUGUGUAUAUCAUGAAUUCAAUGUUUAAUUAAAUCUCAUUAAUUUUUA